GAUGAACGCUGGCGGCGUGCCUAACACAUGCAAGUCGAGCGAUUCUCUUCGGAGAAGAGCGGCGGACGGGUGAGUAACGCGUGGGUAACCUGCCCUGUACACACGGAUAACAUACCGAAAGGUAUGCUAAUACGAGAUAAUAUGCUUUUAUCGCAUGGUAGAAGUAUCAAAGCUUUUGCGGUACAGGAUGGACCCGCGUCUGAUUAGCUAGUUGGUAAGGUAACGGCUUACCAAGGCGACGAUCAGUAGCCGACCUGAGAGGGUGAUCGGCCAACUUGGAACUGAGAAACGGACCAAAAUCCUACGGGAGGCAGCAGUGGGGAAUAUUGCACAAUGGGCGAAAGCCUGAUGCAGCAGCGCCGCGUGAGCGAUGAAGGCCUUCGGGUCGUAAAGCUCUGUCCUCAAGGAAGAUAAUGACGGUACUUGAGGAGGAAGCCCCGGCUAACUACGUGCCAGCAGCCGCCGUAAUAC
rnacentral:rRNA from 1 species